rnacentral:rRNA from 1 species
GACGAACGCUGGCGGCGUGCUUAACACAUGCAAGUCGAACGGAAAGGCCCUGCUUUUGUGGGGUGCUCGAGUGGCGAACGGGUGAGUAACACGUGAGUAACCUGCCCUUGGCUUUGGGAUAACUUCAGGAAACUGGGGCUAAUACCGGAUAGGAGCUCCUGCUGCAUGGUGGGGGUUGGAAAGUUUCGGCGGUUGGGGAUGGACUCGCGGCUUAUCAGCUUGUUGGUGGGGUAGUGGCUUACCAAGGCUUUGACGGGUAGCCGGCCUGAGAGGGUGACCGGCCACAUUGGGACUGAGAUACGGCCCAGACUCCUACGGGAGGCAGCAGUGGGGAAUAUUGCACAAUGGGCGGAAGCCUGAUGCAGCAACGCCGCGUGCGGGAUGACGGCCUUCGGGUUGUAAACCGCUUUCGCCUGUGACGAAGCGUGAGUGACGGUAAUAGGUAAAGAAGCACCGGCUAACUACGUG